rnacentral:rRNA from 1 species
CCUACGGGAGGCAGCAGUGAGGAAUAUUGGUCAAUGGGCGGGAGCCUGAACCAGCCAAGCCGCGUGAGGGAAGAAGGUACAGCGUAUCGUAAACCUCUUUUGUCAGGGAACAAAGGCGGGGACUAGUCCCCGGAUGAGGGUACCUGAAGAAAAAGCAUCGGCUAACUCCGUGCCAGCAGCCGCGGUAAUACGGAGGAUGCGAGCGUUAUCCGGAUUUAUUGGGUUUAAAGGGUGCGCAGGCGGCCUGUUAAGUCAGCGGUAAAAGCCCGGGGCUCAACCCCGGCGAGCCGUUGAAACUGGCUGUCUUGAGAUGUCGAGAGGUAUGCGGAAUGCGCAGUGUAGCGGUGAAAUGCUUAGAUAUUGCGCAGAACUCCGAUUGCGAAGGCAGCAUACCGGCGCUCAACUGACGCUCAUGCACGAAAGUGUGGGUAUCGAACAGGAUUAGAUACCCCUGUAGUC